rnacentral:lncRNA from 1 species
CUUGUAUAUUUUACCAGAACUCUUGGUUAAGAAAAUCCUAGUCCAUGGAGUAUGAUAUAUCAAUCAUGCAACAAUGACCUACAACAUCUAUGUGGAUUGAUUUUUGCAAAAUAAAGAACAAUGCUGACUGAGGAAUAAGGUGCAUACCCGAUUAGCAAUAUCUCAGCAAGUAACCAACAAUUUUUUAUCUGAUAAGAAAAAAUUACAAUUUCUUGAAUAUACAUGAAACAUUUUGCAGAAAGAACCAUGUCAUAAUUAUUAGUCCAACUGAAGAAUUAUCAAUACUUAUCACAUGAAACGAAAGAUACCCGAGUUCACUUAAUGAAAUUCUCUUUUUUUUUUCUCUAACAUUGAGAUAAGCAAAAACUUUUAACUAAAGACAAUCAUCUAGUGAUCUCAAACAAAUGAGGUUAGUAUGAAACCAUCAUAAUUUGUUCGCUCAUUGCCUAAUUUUAUUAAUGCAAGAGCCUGGAAGCAACUCAAAAAGAAAAUAACCGACAUAGGAAGUGUCAUCUCAUAUCUCACCAAUGAAUGGGAACAGCUUGAUGUGGCUGAGCAAACUGGCAGAAUUGUCAUUUUAACACACGUUCAAGAAACUCAGCAAAUUCUCAUAUCUGUUUAAAUUCCACAGCAAAGAUAGUUACAAGAAAUCUAAUCAAAAUUUAAAAUGUCAGAAGGCAAAUCUUCCAAUUAGGAUCAAAAGAAGAUAAUUAUAAUUUGUCAUUUCAAUUCUGAAUGUACAAUUUUAUUUUUUUAUGUGUGCAUUAAUUAAGAUUCUACCUUCUCUGCAAAAUUGUGAUGGACUUGGUAAAUAAUGAAUUGUAUCGACUUGAAUUUUAUACAACUUAUUGAGAUAAUAAUACGCCAAAUUCAACACCGUCCAUCCCAAAUCACAACAAGAAACUCAAACUUUUAUCCCCUCAAGUGGGUUCUUGAAACUGAAGCUUUAGUGCCAGUACAAUUUUGAAAGAUUGUGAUCAAACUAAAACAUCAAAUAAAAUAAGACGUAACAAAAACACGUCUUCAGAAAAUUAGUAUAGGAAUAAGAUAAGCUACACAGACCUACUUCAAUGAAUUAGAAAAAUUAUGAUAAACUUGAUGCAUUUCGAAAAACAACAAACAAAUAUUCCCAGGAAAACAAAAAAAAGACAACUUUGUUUAAGCUUAGACAAAAAUAACUAAGGACAUAUGAAUGCAUCAUAAUAGUAUCUCUAUGGGUAAUUUUCAGAAAUCUCCCCUAAGGUAUGGUGUAUUCUUAGUUUGAUAGAAAAUAUCUAAGUAUUCUUAUAGACCUCCCCUACUGUUAGUAUUCCAUUUCGUAUAUGUUAGGUAGAUGAGGGUAAGAUCGUAAUUUGAAUAAGUUAAUGAUAAAAAAUCCAGAAAUUUUAAGAUUUUCACAUUGGCCUCUGGGCUUUAUUCAUCUCUUUCAUCCACCAAAACCAGAAAUACAACUCACCUCUCUCCUCCACCUAAAUCGAAGCAAGGUAGCUCAAAACUCAUUUCAAAAAAUUGAUCAAUUACUUGGGUCACAAACUAGAGACAAUGACGACGAAGUUGAUGACGCCAAUAUCGACGACGAAGCUGAUGACGCCAAUAUCGACGACGAAUGAUUCGCAACUGCCAGGUAAGAGAGUAUAGUAGGUUUCGCCAUCGAACGCCCAAUCAUCCAGUUGUUUUGGAGCCGCGUUAUUUUUAUUAGCUAAAAUUAGAAUUUUUAGUGAAAAAUUGAAAGUGGGUCUCAAAAUUUUUUGAGAGCGUAUAUGUUUCUCCUGAUUUUUCGAUCGAUUCGUGUUAGUUGCAGUUAAAUGAUUAAUCCAAUUCGUGUUGAAGAUAGAGCUAACUCGAAUAUCUCUAUAGUCCUGUAAUUGAUUGAAAAUGGGUCUUGAAAAUUGUUUUAGAUUUCAGCUGUGUGCUUCUGAUUUUUUCCAUGGAUUCAUGAUAGAUGAAAAUGGUUGAUGAAGAUUUGCUUGACAUGUAUAUAGAUGGUAUUUUGUUAAAGGGGUUUUAAUUUUUUCCUUUUUUGGUGGUUUCGAUUGUGGUAUUUACAUGCCUUAGGUUGAGAAAAACGAAAAUGGUUUGUUGCACUCUUUUGUGUUGGAUCAGUGAGUUUAGGCGAUUUGAAAUGGUUUGCGGCAUUCAAUUGAUUGUUUUAUUUAUGUGGUUUGAUAUGGGAAAAGUAUAAUAAAAUUCAAUUGUUCCAUAUGUCAAUUUGGAUGUUUUGAAAUUAUGAACUACAAAAAGUUAAAAUUAAUUUCUUAUUAUAUUUUCAAUUGAAAGUUACUAUUGUCUUCUUUUUAGUACUUAGUAUGCAUUUUUCCCCAUCUUCUAGUGGUGGUGUUGCACCCAUUUUGAAUUUGAUCGGCAUCUUCUUCUGUACAUGCAUGUUUCUUGGACUCCAAUUUUUGUUUCAUAUGAUGAAGCUAAUUUAAUUCCUCCUUUUUAAUAUCAACUUUGUUCAUCUAGGUUUGCGAUUUUGAUCUUUCUCAUUUGAAGGCAAACACAUUUAUGUCAUCAAAAUUUCCAAUAUUUUUUAUUUUAUAGUAUCCAAACUGCUUAUGGCAAUAUGAAAUUGAGAAUAUUUCUUUCAUCAUGUUAACCUAAGUGGAUGGUGGAUGAUGUUUGUGUAAGAGAUUUAAGUUAUUUGUAUUAUAGAAUAUGUCUUAUGUUUUGAUUUGCAAUUUCACCAUUAAAUUGGCUUUGUAAAUGAUUAGAAGCUAAAUGCAUAAAAUGAAAACAAUAGUAACAUUUCUGAGUGGGGUAUAAUCAGAUGCUAACAUGGCGAUCCAUGACUUGUAAUUUCUAUUGUCGUUAUAAUUGGACUAGAUCGAGGUAAACUGACUUUUCUUGUUCUGUUUUUUUUUUCAUUUCUUUGUUCUAGAUUUUUCUUUCUUUGUUUUACUUCUGGUUUCUUCUUCAGCAUAUUCAAUAACUAGCAUGAGCAAAUGGAGAGGAAAAGGGUAGAAUAUGCUUUUAAAAAAAAAGAAAAGAAAAAAAGAGAUAGCUCUAAUUCAAAAAUAAGGAGGAGAAAAGGGCAAUGAUUGAAGUUGUGGAGAAGAAAUUCUUAAUGCAUAGGAGAUGACAACAAAGUGUUGCAACUGGGAGCAGUUUUAAAGUGCUAUUCGAUUGCUUUUGUAAUCAAAUUGUCUUUUGUACCUAUUUAUACACACACAUAUUUGUAUUUGUAAUUUGAAUUUUACAUUUUCUCAAGACAACUAUGUUUAUUUUAAAAAAAAUCUAAAUGUAACUAAAAUAUUAAAGUUUUUGUACUUAUUACUCCAUUUGAUGAUUUUUUUUAUUUUUUUGCUGACGAAUAUUCCAUGUCAAUUUUUUUCCCUUCAGCUCGUUUAAGGUGUUUUAUUGUCUGAUGUGAUAUUUGGUGCUCGGGAGGAAGGGUGUUUUAAGUCUUUUUUGGUGUCAGGGGCAAUUUUGUCUUUACAUCAGUCAACAAAUAGUCAAUGGAUGGAAAUGCAAACAGCAGGGGAGGUGUCUGAUAAUACACGGAUACUUUCUAUCAAACUUAUAAUACACAAAAUCUCAGGGGAGGUUUUUGAAAAUUACCCAACUGUGCAAAAUUAUGAAAAAAAUGAGCUAAACAUAUAUAGCAUUUCAGAGGAGUGCUUACUUGACAAAUCACUAAUACAAAGCUGCGAAUGGGCAUUCGGAAUGUUUUGAGAGACUCGUAUGGAUAAAAUAUGUAGUUAUUUAAGUAAUGAC